rnacentral:misc_RNA from 2 species
CAACCCUCAAGCCCAGCUUGGUGUUGGGAGCCACCCCAGCGGUGCUCCUCAAAGGCAGUGGCGGCGCCUCUCGGCUCUAAGCGUAGUAAUUCAUUCUCGCUCUGGGGACCUAGAGGUGGCUUGCCAGCAACCCCAAAUCUAUCAA